AGAGUUUGAUCAUGGCUCAGAUUGAACGCUGGCGGCAGGCCUAACACAUGCAAGUCGAACGGUAACAGGAAGCAGCUUGCUGCUUUGCUGACGAGUGGCGGACGGGUGAGUAAUGUCUGGGAAACUGCCUGAUGGAGGGGGAUAACUACUGGAAACGGUGGCUAAUACCGCAUAACGUCGCAAGACCAAAGAGGGGGACCUUCGGGCCUCUUGCCAUCAGAUGUGCCCAGAUGGGAUUAGCUUGUUGGUGAGGUAACGGCUCACCAAGGCGACGAUCCCUAGCUGGUCUGAGAGGAUGACCAGCCACACUGGAACUGAGACACGGUCCAGACUCCUACGGGAGGCAGCAGUGGGGAAUAUUGCACAAUGGGCGCAAGCCUGAUGCAGCCAUGCCGCGUGUAUGAAGAAGGCCUUCGGGUUGUAAAGUACUUUCAGCGGGGAGGAAGGUGUUGUGGUUAAUAACCGCAGCAAUUGACGUUACCCGCAGAAGAAGCACCGGCUAACUCCGUGCCAGCAGCCGCGGUAAUACGGAGGGUGCAAGCGUUAAUCGGAAUUACUGGGCGUAAAGCGCACGCAGGCGGUCUGUCAAGUCGGAUGUGAAAUCCCCGGGCUCAACCUGGGAACUGCAUUCGAAACUGGCAGGCUUGAGUCUUGUAGAGGGGGGUAGAAUUCCAGGUGUAGCGGUGAAAUGCGUAGAGAUCUGGAGGAAUACCGGUGGCGAAGGCGGCCCCCUGGACAAAGACUGACGCUCAGGUGCGAAAGCGUGGGGAGCAAACAGGAUUAGAUACCCUGGUAGUCCACGCCGUAAACGAUGUCUACUUGGAGGUUGUGCCCUUGAGGCGUGGCUUCCGGAGCUAACGCGUUAAGUAGACCGCCUGGGGAGUACGGCCGCAAGGUUAAAACUCAAAUGAAUUGACGGGGGCCCGCACAAGCGGUGGAGCAUGUGGUUUAAUUCGAUGCAACGCGAAGAACCUUACCUGGUCUUGACAUCCACAGAACUUUCCAGAGAUGGACUGGUGCCUUCGGGAACCGUGAGACAGGUGCUGCAUGGCUGUCGUCAGCUCGUGUUGUGAAAUGUUGGGUUAAGUCCCGCAACGAGCGCAACCCUUAUCCUUUGUUGCCAGCGAUUAGGUCGGGAACUCAAAGGAGACUGCCAGUGAUAAACUGGAGGAAGGUGGGGAUGACGUCAA
rnacentral:rRNA from 1 species